rnacentral:rRNA from 1 species
CCUACGGGAGGCAGCAGUGGGGAAUUUUGGACAAUGGGCGAAAGCCUGAUCCAGCAAUGCCGCGUGCAGGAAGAAGGCCUUCGGGUUGUAAACUGCUUUUGUACGGAACGAAACGGUCUGCUUUAAUACAGUGGGCUAAUGACGGUACCGUAAGAAUAAGCACCGGCUAACUACGUGCCAGCAGCCGCGGUAAUACGUAGGGUGCGAGCGUUAAUCGGAAUUACUGGGCGUAAAGCGUGCGCAGGCGGUUAUAUAAGACAGUUGUGAAAUCCCCGGGCUCAACCUGGGAAUUGCAUCUGUGACUGUAUAGCUAGAGUACGGUAGAGGGGGAUGGAAUUCCGCGUGUAGCAGUGAAAUGCGUAGAUAUGCGGAGGAACACCGAUGGCGAAGGCAAUCCCCUGGACCUGUACUGACGCUCAUGCACGAAAGCGUGGGGAGCAAACAGGAUUAGAUACCCUGGUAGUCCACGCCCUAAACGAUGUCAACUGGUUGUUGGGUGCAUUAGUACUCAGUAACGAAGCUAACGCGUGAAGUUGACCGCCUGGGGAGUACGGCCGCAAGGUUGAAACUCAAAUGAAAUUGACGGCUGAGACGNGCGAGACGACGACGAGGGAGGAGG